rnacentral:pre_miRNA from 1 species
AAUAACUGCAGUUUUACACUAUUCACAUUCAACGUUUGAUCAUUCAUCUUAUUUGAAAAUUUUUUAUGAUUAGUAUUUUUAUUGCUAUUAGAUGAUAAAACAUAAAUAGUACUUUAUGUGUGACUAAAUAUUUUCAAAUUUUUCACAAAUUUUUUAAAUAAGAUGGACGGUCAAACGUUGGGUACGGAUAUCCACGGCUGCACUUAUU